rnacentral:rRNA from 1 species
GAUGAACGCUGGCGGCGUGCUUAACACAUGCAAGUCGAACGAAGCACUUUAAUCGAUUUCUUCGGAUUGAAAUUUUAGUGACUGAGUGGCGGACGGGUGAGUAACGCGUGGGUAACCUGCCUCACACAGGGGGAUAACAGUUGGAAACGGCUGCUAAUACCGCAUAAGCGCACAGUACCGCAUGGUACGGUGUGAAAAACUCCGGUGGUGUGAGAUGGACCCGCGUCUGAUUAGCUAGUUGGCAGGGUAACGGCCUACCAAGGCGACGAUCAGUAGCCGCCCGGAGAGGGUGACCGGACACAUUGGGACUGAGACACGGCCCAAACUCCUACGGGAGGCAGCAGUGGGGAAUAUUGCACAAUGGGGGAAACCCUGAUGCAGCGACGCCGCGUGAGCGAAGAAGUAUUUCGGUAUGUAAAGCUCUAUCAGCAGGGAAGAAGAAAUGGCGGUACCUGACUAAGAAGCACCGGCUAAAUACGUGCCAGCAGCCGCAGUAA